rnacentral:ncRNA from 2 species
CGGACGAAACAGGGGUGUCCCCGCCAUGUCGGCGGGCGACUGAGAAAUACCCUUCACACCCGAUCCAGGUCAUGCUGGCGUGGGGAGUUUCCAGCACCGGUGC